UAGCAUCCUGCAUCUCUGAUUUGCCAGAUUCAUCAUAACAUCCUAAUUAAUCAAUAAUCACUGGUGAAAGUGUAAACAUUUUAAUGUGUACAGACAUAACUCAUUUAAAUGCGUUUUUCUUUUUCUCUCUUUUGCUUGUCUACAGCUACACACACCACAAAGGCUCUUUUAAGAGCCACAUCUUGAGAGCAUCUUUGACUUUCAGCUACACACACCACAAAGAGCUCUUUUAAGAGCCACAUCUUGAGAGCAUCUGACUUUAAAGUUCUCUACAGUCAACCACACUCACUCAACGACGAUAUCCACAGUUCACACUCUAUCAAAACCAAGUACCAUGGAUUGCAAAAAACAAUCUUACUGGACAUUGCGAAGAAAAGCCAAGGCUAAGGUGGACAAACAACUCCAGUCAAUGGAAGCAUCACCAUCAUCAUGCAGGGAACAGUAUGGUGGCAUGAACAGUGACACAAGCAGCACCGCUGAUGACAACAAUGACUUUAUGGAUGGUUUGUUCCAUACUGAUGAGCCUGAAUGUGUCACCAUGGCAAGUGCU